ACCCUUAAAAGUACAAAAAUGUAUCUUUAAGGUACAAUUGUGCACCUUUAAGGUACAAUUAUGCACCUUCCAUUGUACAUUGUGUAGCUUUUCGAGGUGUAAGGUACAUAUUUGUCCCUUACAUAUUUGUACCUUAAUGUUUAAAUAUAAAAUAGCAGGAAUUAGUGGAUGCUGAAAAUGUCAUCUCUCAAUAUAGAAACACAAGUUAACCUAUACUAUCAAACUCAAUAAUUGUCAAACUAAAUUAACUGUAAAGUUCUGAGAUAUGGGCAAAAUAAAUCAGAAUGUGUAAAGUUUUGAGAUAUGGGCAAAAUAAAUCAGAAUGUUUUUUUGUUUUUGUUUUUGUUUUUUUGUGAAGUGUCCCUUUGAAUCAUUUUUAAUCAUGUUAAUGAGGAUUAUGUAAUCAUUUAUAUUCACAAACAGUAUUGAAGAAUUUGAUUUUCAAACCCUUUACCCUAUUUAUAUUAGAAUAAAACAGACAAAUAAUUGUUAACGCUUUAAGUUGUGUUCUAUUGAAAGGAUCUAGCUACAGGCUAACCAGAGUUUGACUCGGCGGAAGCAUAAAUAUUGCAGCGCGGAAGGAUACAUGAGUGAAUCGACAGUGAUCCAAGUGUCAAUCAAAGGUGGGAGGAUGGCGCUUCGACAUUUAUCCACGUAGGAUUUAAUCACCGGAGUUAUUUAAUUUUGGGAUAGAUGUCACUGAAGAGGAGAGAAGUAAAUUCAUAGGUAAAGUAUUUGAAUUUUUAAUCAGUGUUUGUGGUGUUAAUUCAAAGUUGGAAGUUAACUUUUACUGUUCAUACUCUGUCAACAUUAGGGAAGCAUAAAUAUUGCAGCGCGGAAGGAUACAUGAGUGAAUCGACAGUGAUCCAAGUGUCAAUCAAAGGUGGGAGGAUGGCGCUUCGACAUUUAUCCACGUAGGAUUUAAUCACCGGAGUUAUUUAAUUUUUGGGAUAGAGGUCACUGAAGAGGAGAGAAGUAAAUUCAAAGAUAAUGAAGUUGACGGAGAAGCAGUGGACUAUGGAUUGACUGAGAGGAUGAUUUCAUGC
rnacentral:lncRNA from 1 species